GGUUAAGUGACUAAGCGUACACGGUGGAUGCCUAGGCAGUCAGAGGCGAUGAAGGGCGUGCUAAUCUGCGAAAAGCGUCGGUAAGGUGAUAUGAACCGUUAUA
rnacentral:rRNA from 1 species